UUUUCUUUCUUGCCUACAGUUUUUCAUCGUAAGUGCUUUAAUAAGCAACUUUAUAGCCUGGACUGUGAUCAGCAGAGGCCCUCUUCCUUUGAGGAACCCCACAUACAACUAACUGAAGGCUUCUCGGGAGGCAGGAGGAAUGAUCUUGUGCUGCAGGUGUGGAAACAACUGCUCAGAUGUCCUCACACAGGUUCACUGCCAUGGUCUCUUUGCACUGUUGAACAAUUUGUCUCCCAAGUAUUCGUCUUGUCAGUCUGCACAUUUCUGAUCUUGAAAGAGGUGAGCAGUGAGGCUGCGGCUUUGCAUACAGCCUCUGCUCUGCUGGGCAGUUCCAUCAUCCAUCAUCAAAUAUACUCCUGCCUAUUAAAAGUAAGCAGCAGUGGUAAGGCUGAACCAAUAUUUGAUCGCCCUUACAAUUGGCAGUGCAUCACUUUAAUUAACAAGAAGCCUUUCCUCCUCUGUUAAUCUUACCUUCCACCUUCAAAAGCUCAGCUGAGCAGCACUAUCUAAUGGAAUACAUAAUAACUCAAUCACAGGGAGAGAGCUAUCUCCUUGGCUGCUUUGAAGCACCUGUCACUACGUUUGCUUGAUAUUUGAAAAUGUAAGAAUACAUUGUAAGUGGUUGAGAUGUCUCAUGAAGGAAAUCAUUGUGUACAAAGCUAUUAGAACUUGUAAAUAGACAUUACUUCAAAAGUGCUCUCUGUCCUGCAUUGCAUCUCGAAGAGGGAAUUACAUGUGAGGAAAGGCUGUCUUAGCUCUUCAACUGAAUGCUGCUUCCUCGGGGACUGUUCAUAAUUCCACACCUAAAGACACUCUCUUCUACAAGAGGAAACAAAAUAUUUUGAUGAACAGAGAAAACUGGAAACUCUUCUUCAUCCAUUCACAUUGUAAAAAAAAUGCCGCAUAGAAUGUUGCUUUUUACUUAAAGCCUAAGCAAUAAUUCCUGUCAUAUAACAACCUUCUCACCACUACAUUAUGUACCCAUAAAGCCCUGGAACCCCGAGUGCUUCAGGUUCAAUGCCACCAUUUCAAGUAUAAAAAGGUAUGUGCUUCCUACUGUGUUUCCUUUUGAAAAUAUAUCAAAACACAAGGCAUAUGCUCAGGACAAAUAGCUCUCUCUCAUCCUGCUGGACCUAACAUUGUAAAAAGGAACUGUGCACACAGCCAGCUGCCUUGGGUACUUUCAAC
rnacentral:lncRNA from 1 species